ACCAGUGACGCCGCGUGCAGGAAGGAGCCCUUCGGGGUGUAAACUGCUGUCGUGUAGGGAGAAGGGUACUAAGGUGAACAAUCUUAGUACUUGACGGUACUACAGGAGGAAGCCCAGGCUAACCUCGUGCCAGCAGCCGCGGUAAUA
rnacentral:rRNA from 1 species